CAAGUACUCCCUCCGUCCGGAAUUACUUGUCAUCAAAAUGGAUGUGUCUAGAACUAAAAUACAUCUAGAUACAUCCAUUUCAAUGGCAAGUAUUUUCGGACGGAGGGAGUACAAG
rfam:Triticum aestivum genome assembly, contig: Triticum_aestivum_CS42_TGACv1_scaffold_213621_3AS